UGCGGCAAGUUCCCGUUGACCCUGCGGAGGGCCUCUGCUAUGGGAGUCGGACUAAGCCAUGCAAGCCGGAGGAAGGCCUUUUGGCCUUCCAGGCGUACGGCUGAGUAACACGUCGAUAACCUAACGUGGGGUGGGGGAUAACCUCUGGGAAACUGAGGAUAAAACCCCAUAGGUAAGGGGUACUGAAAUGUCCCCUUGCCGAAAGCCCUUUUGGGCGCCCCACGAAGGGUCGGCGGCCCAUCAGGUAGUUGGUGGGGUAAUGGCCCACCAAGCCUAUGACGGGUAGGGGCCCUGAGAGGGGGAGCCCCCAGAAGGCCACUGAAACACGGGGCCUAGCCCUACGGGGUGCAGCAGGCGCGAAACCUCUGCAAUGCCUCGUAAGGGUGACAGGGCGACUCCCAGUGCCUUCGCUUCGGCGAAGGCUUUUGCGGUCUGUAAAAAGGACCGCGAAUAAGGGGUGGGUAAGUCCGGUGCCAGCCGCCGCGGUAACACCGGCGCCCCAAGUGGAGGCCCCGAUUAUUGGGUCUAAAGAGUGCGUAGCCGGCUGGGUAAGUCCUCCGUGAAAUCCGUCUCCUUAAGGGACGGCUUGCGGAGGAUACUGCCCAGCUAGGGGCCGGGAGAGGCCGGAGGUACUCCCAGGGGAGCGGUGAAAUGCGUCGAUCCUGGGAGGACCACCUGCGGCGAAGGCGUCCGGCUGGAACGGGCCCGACGGUGAGGCACGAAGGCCGGGGGAUCAAACCGGAUUAGAUACCCGGGUAGUCCCGGCAGUCAACGCUGAGGGCUAGGUGCUAGCCUUCCUUCGAGGAAGGUUAGUGCCGAAGGGAAGCCGUUAAGCCCUCCACCUGGGGAGUAUAGCCGCAAGGCCGAAACUUAAAGGGAUUGGCGGGGGAACACUACAAGGGGUGGGGGGUGUGGUUUAAUUAGAUUCAACGCUGGAAACCUCACCAGGCCCGACAGCAGGAUGAAGGUCAGCCUGAAGGGCUUACCUGACGCGCUGAGAGGUGGUGCAUGGCUGCCGUCAGCUCGUAUCGUAAGACGUCCUGUUAAGUCAGGAAACGAGCGAGACCCGCGCCCCUAGUUGCCAGCAGGCCCGUUUGGGUGACUGGGCACACUAGGGGGACUGCCUGGGAAACCAGGAGGAAGGUGCGGGCGACGGCAAGUCCGUAUGCCCCGAAUGGCCUGGGCCACACACGCCCCACAAAGGCCGGGUCAAUGGGAUGCGACCCCGAAAGGGGGAGCCAAUCCCCUAAACCCGGUCUUGGUCGGGAUUGUGGGCUGCAACUCGCCCACAUGAACGCGGAAUCCCUAGUAAUCGGGCAUAAGAAUUGCCCGGUGAAUACGUCCCUGUUCCUUGCACACACUGCCCGUCAACUCACCCGAGCUGGGCUUUGGUGAAGCCUUUCCUCAAAUGAGGAAGGGUCGAACCAAAGCUCGGUGAGGGGGGGUAAGUCGUCACAAGGUAGCCGUAGGGGAACCUGCGGCUGGAUCACCUCAA
rnacentral:rRNA from 1 species